CCACCUGCGGCGGGGCAGGCCACCGAGGAGCUGGAUUCCUGGGAGCCCUGGGAGGCCUGGGAUGAGUGAGUGAGCAAACCCCCAGCCUGAAGAGGAAGGCUUGGUCUC